rnacentral:rRNA from 1 species
GAUGAACGCUGGCGGCGUGCCUAAUACAUGCAAGUCGAGCGAACGGACGAGAAGCUUGCUUCUCUGAUGUUAGCGGCGGACGGGCGAGUAACACGUGGAUAACCUACCUAUAAGACUGGGAUAACUUCGGGAAACCGUAGCUAAUACCGGAUAAUAUUUUGAACCGCAUGGUUCAAAAGUGAAAGACGGUCUUGCUGUCACUUAUAGAUGGAUCCGCGCUGCAUUAGCUAGUUGGUAAGGUAACGGCUUACCAAGGCAACGAUGCAUAGCCGACCUGAGGGGGUGAUCGGCCACACUGGAACUGAGACACGGUCCAGACUCCUACGGGAGGCAGCAGUAGGGAAUCUUCCGCAAUGGGCGAAAGCCUGACGGAGCAACGCCGCGUGAGUGAUGAAGGUCUUCGGAUCGUAAAACUCUGUUAUUAGGGAAGAACAUAUGUGUAAGUAACUGUGCACAUCUUGACGGUACCUAAUCAGAAAGCCACGGCUAACUACGUG